rnacentral:lncRNA from 1 species
UGGGGAGGGUGCUCUGCUUAAUUCCAGGGUGCCCAGAUUUCUGCCUGGACUCUCCUCUGCUCUAGCUCCUGACAUUUCUGGCCCUCUUUGGCUUUUCUGGGGCUUCAGGUGAGCCAGGCUCCAAUAACCAGCCCUGCAGCCACUAUUCCCUGAGUCAUCCCCUAACUUAUUAAUUAGCCUUCCUAGCAACUAUGAGGCUUCUGGCUUGGCCAAGAGGAUGAGAUACACGACUUGCCUAUGUGGGACCUUUUAGCUCCUCAUCGGGCCCUGGUUGCAGUCCUGACCUUAACUGAUGAUUUAAGUGUCAAGAAAAUUGCAUCUUGCCAGCUACUAAUGACUCCUGAGCCGAGGAGUCUCACGUCUGACCCGGGACCAGGGACCCAGGAGGCUUCUACGGGUAUGAGCUUGGCGUCAUCCUCGGCUCUUGCAUAAGGCACACGCAAGUCAUUUCUUCCGAAUUCGGAAGCACUUAAAAAUUCCAGAUCAGUUUCCUCACAUCAGCCCUGGGAAGGAGACAAUGCCAGGAUUAUCACCCUAUUGUAUAAAUGAAGAAAACUGAGGCUUGGAGAUCUAAAGAUCUAGUGAAGAGUGCUGGAUCUGGAAUCAAGAAAACCAGGUUCAAAUCCAGUUUUGCUACUUAUUACCUUUAUGGCUUUGGACAAGUCUCUUAAUCUCUAUGGGUCUCAGUUUCCCCCUCUGUAAGAUGAGAUAGUUGAACUAGCUGAUCCCUGACCCUCCGACGUCUACCAGGGACACACAGUAAGUAGAUGGCAGUGAUGUGAUUGAAUCUAGAUCUAGCAUUGUAGAUGAUCUUGACUAAGGGCACCACAAUGCUG